UACGUAGGGGGCAAGGCGUUGUCCGGAUUUAUUGGGCGUAAAGAGCGUGUAGGCGGCCAGGUAGGUCUGCUGUGAAAACUCGAGGCUCAACCUCGAGACGUCGGCGGAAACCAUCUGACUAGAGUCCGGAAGAGGAGAGUGGGAAUUCCUGGUGUAGCGGUGAAAUGCGCAGAUAUCAGGAAGAACACCCGUGGCGAAGGCGGCUCUCUGGGACGGUACUGACGCUGAGACGCGAAAGCGUGGGGAGCGAACAGG
rnacentral:rRNA from 1 species